UGGAUACUGUUGAACACUCAGAAAUAUAAGUAAUCUAGAAAAGGUUUGAAAUUAAUCUAAUUGAUUAUACUUUAAAAUUAUAAGCGCUUAGUAUAAACAUCUAUACUAUCUAUAAUUAAAAUGUAUACUAUGGCAGGAUAACGCAAACUUAUUUUGCUUUUGUAUUCUGUCUCUUGAUAUUUUUUUCGCGCGUGGUUUAUUUGCAUCGAGUUGCCGUAAUUUUCGGCCAAAUAAUUAAAAAAACUCGCCAUUUGACAACAUGCAGAAACGGAGAUGGAAGUUGCAAGCUGGUAUUUAAAGUGACCAGAAAUGAUCGACACCGGAGGAGAUUCCUUGGCUGAUUCUAGUGGCCAUCAUUCAACCUGAAAGUUCGUCGAUAAAGUCGUUUGAUUUUUGUUUUUCUGAAGAUCGUUUGUGGUUAAAAAUUCAUUGUGGAAUGCAAGGGGAACGACACAAAUUAUUCCAACCUGAAAUUUCCCACAAAAUAGACGACAAAACCUGCAUACGACAUGCCGGUAUUUGCAAUAUUUUUCAGGGUUUGGGUUUGGGUUUGGCUUGGAAAAACUUGUGUCGUUUCCCUUGCCUUGGUGGAAUGGUUCUCUGACAAAGCAGUGAGUGAUAAAUAAGCUGCCGGAGGACUUUGUAAAAUAUGAAACAGAUUACGGAAAUGCAAAAACAAUGUGGUUAGUAUAUUGAUUUGCGUCACGGAUGGGGAAAAACGUUUUGUGUUGAAACAUAUUUCCAUGGUGUAUACUAUUCCUUCAUGCAUUGAACUAUUGUACACUCAGAAAUGAAAUAAAUCCGUAAUGGAUUUGAAAUUAAACUUUUUAGUCAUAUUUGACGUUUAUACAUUGCAUAGUUUAAAAAGUAUACUUUCGCACAUUAUUUUUUAUACUAAGUCAGAUUAACGCAGCAGUAUUUUAGAUAGAAUUUUGUCUUCUGCGAAAUUUCAUAUUCUCUUCCAUUUACUUGAUUCACCCAGUUGAGUCGUAGCGUUGUUGCGAAGAAAUUACAGAUUUUUGUGAGAAAGGUGUAGGUUUGCGGCCAUUACCAUUGGGAGAAAAGCAUCUUAACUAGAAGAUAAUGGCACUGCCAGUCACUCCAGCUCCAGGAGCUGCAAUCUCCGACAUCGUCCCAACAGGGGGAGAAAUUGCGCAGCGGCAAAAUUUGAGUACGCUUGGAAGGCUUCGAGACAGCGGUGCCGGUGGAAUUAUUCAGGCGCAAAAUCAAAAUCUAUAACCUCCCGGCUAGCACCAGGUAGCUGUUCACCGAGCUCUUUUUCCUAGUUAAACGGACCAACACCGCAUCCAAAGCUCGAUCCAUGAUAGUUUUUCUGGGCAAACAGACACUUCUCUGUUUAUGGACACGGGCGCUAUCGCGAAUGGCACAUAUUUUAAUAUCCAUGCAACAGUGCAAUUUCUCCCUUCCGGAAUUUAUUAGCGGUUUCGGUCGAUUAUCCGAAAAAGGAUCGUACAACUGGAUUCGAUUAUUAUACCCUAGAGAAGCGCAUGAUCGAUGACAAAGAUAACGAGCGACAAUUGAUUACGAGCCGGAUGCUUUGGCCGAGGUCUACAAUAGUCAUCAAUCGCUGUUACUCGAAGUUCUGUUGGAGGACAGCUCAGCACAGGAUCAAGACCAGCGGUACCCAUCCACCCCCAGUUAAUCGAAUAGGUUCCGACUUCUUAGCUCCGGUGGGCUUCCCGAGCAAUUCUCUCAUUUACAAGUCUCAUUUGUGCGAACAUUUGUGUAUUUUAUUGCAUGAUUUUAAUAAAAUAAUAAUUACUUUCUCUGUGUACAAACUAUCCUUUCAUUUUAAUUUUUCCAAUAAGAAAAACUAAAGAAAAACGAACUAACCUAGAAACUAUAGACAAAUCGAAAGUAAACUAAACAUUAAUAAAGCGUAUUUAUACUAACGAACGUUUUUCUUAAAUUUAUACUAUGACAGUAUUGUAGGUUUGAAUACGAGCAUGGGGUCAACCAGGCGAAUAGUCGUUUAGAAUGACUUUUAAACUAUUUAGUAUAAAUAUAUUUCUGAGUGUAUAUUGAUGA